ensembl:rRNA 5S_rRNA 5S ribosomal RNA
UCCGGAAGCUGAGAUCACCUGGACAGCAGGUACGAUUAGAAGAGAGAAGAGUCUGAUCUCGGAAGCUAAGCAGGGUUGGGCCUGGUUAGUACUUGGAUGGGAGACCCCCUAGGAAGACCAGGUGCUGUAGGAG